CCAAAUGCCCACAGUGCAACAAGAAAGCAAAGCGGUCAGACAUCGUGCUGCUGUACGCGCCAAAGCUCAGAGCCCUGGAUAACUCUGAGCAGGAGAGCUUAAAAAAGUCUCUGGAGCAGGAGCAGUCCCUGAGGAGGAAGGCUGAGCU